rnacentral:rRNA from 1 species
CCUACGGGAGGCAGCAGUGAGGAAUAUUGGUCAAUGGGCGCGAGCCUGAACCAGCCAAGUAGCGUGAAGGAUGACGGCCCUACGGGUUGUAAACUUCUUUUAUAAGGGAAUAAAGUGAGGAACGUGUGCCUUUUUGUAUGUACCUUAUGAAUAAGGAUCGGCUAACUCCGUGCCAGCAGCCGCGGUAAUACGGAGGAUCCGAGCGUUAUCCGGAUUUAUUGGGUUUAAAGGGAGCGUAGGUGGGUUGUUAAGUCAGCGGUGAAAGUUUGGGGCUCAACCGUAAAAUUGCAGUUGAAACUGGCAGCCUUGAGUACAUUGGAGGUAGGCGGAAUGCGUGGUGUAGCGGUGAAAUGCUUAGAUAUCACGAAGAACUCCGAUUGCGAAGGCAGCUUACUAAACUGUAACUGACACUGAUGCUCGAAAGCGUGGGUAUCAAACAGGAUUAGAUACCCUAGUAGUC